GGUAGCAUUUAUUAGAUUGAAACCAAUGCAGCUUCGGCUGGUAUUGUGUUGAAUCAUAAUAACUGUGCGGAUCGCAAUUUUCGCGAUAAAUCAAAUGAAUUUCUGCCCCAUCAGCUUUGGAUGGUAGGAUAUGGGCCUACCAUGGCGUUAACGGGUAACGGGGAAUUAGGGUUUGAUUCCGGAGAGGGAGCCUGAGAAACGGCUACCACAUCCAAGGAAGGCAGCAGGCGCGUAAAUUACCCAAUCCUAAUUCAGGGAGGUAGUGACAAUAAAUAACAAUGCCGGGCUUUCUAAGUCUGGCAAUUGGAAUGAGAACAAUUUAAAUCCCUUAACGAGGAUCAAUUGGAGGGCAAGUCUGGUGCCAGCAGCCGCGGUAAUUCCAGCUCCAAUAGCGUAUAUUAAAGUUGUUGCAGUUAAAAAGCUCGUAGUUGGAUUUCUGAAUUGAAUGCUCGGUCCGCUUGUCUUUGAUGAGUGUGUACUUAUGGGCAUUUGGUUCAUUUUUUGUGAGGAAAUUUACCUGUCAUUAAGUUGAUGGGUUUAUGGACUUGCAUCGUUUACUGUGAAUAAAUUAGAGUG
rnacentral:rRNA from 1 species